rnacentral:rRNA from 1 species
AGCGAACGCUGGCGGCAGGCCUAACACAUGCAAGUCGAACGAAGUCUUCGGACUUAGUGGCGGACGGGUGAGUAACACGUGGGAACGUGCCUUUAGGUUCGGAAUAACUCAGGGAAACUUGUGCUAAUACCGAAUGUGCCCUUCGGGGGAAAGAUUUAUCGCCUUUAGAGCGGCCCGCGUCUGAUUAGCUAGUUGGUUAGGUAAAGGCUCACCAAGCCUACGAUCAGUAGCUGGUCUGAGAGGAAGACCAGCCACAUUGGGACUGAGACACGGCCCAAACUCCUACGGGAGGCAGCAGUGGCGAAUCUUGCGCAAUGGGCGAAAGCCUGACGCAGCCAUGCCGCGUGGAUGAUGAAGGUCUUAGGAUUGUAAAAUCCUUUCACCGGUGAAGAUAAUGACUGUAGCCGGAGAAGAAGCCCCGGCUAACUUCGUGCCAGCCGCCUCCGUAAAAC